rnacentral:rRNA from 1 species
UACGUAGGGUGCAAGCGUUGUCCGGAAUUAUUGGGCGUAAAGAGCUCGUAGGCGGUCUGUCGCGUCUGCUGUGAAAACCCGGGGCUUAACCCCGGGCCUGCAGUGGGUACGGGCAGACUAGAGUGCGGUAGGGGAGACUGGAAUUCCUGGUGUAGCGGUGAAAUGCGCAGAUAUCAGGAGGAACACCGGUGGCGAAGGCGGGUCUCUGGGCCGUAACUGACGCUGAGGAGCGAAAGCAUGGGGAGCGAACAGG